UGCCGGUUGAGCAGCUGGUUC
rnacentral:siRNA from 1 species